CCUACGGGAGGCAGCAGUGAGGAAUAUUGGUCAAUGGACGAGAGUCUGAACCAGCCAAGUAGCGUGAAGGAUGACUGCUCUAUGGGUUGUAAACUUCUUUUAUAUGGGAAUAAAACGUUCCACGUGUGGGAUUUUGUAUGUACCAUAUGAAUAAGGAUCGGCUAACUCCGUGCCAGCAGCCGCGGUAAUACUGAGGAUCCGAGUGUUAUCCGGAUUUAUUGGGUUUAAAGGGAGCGCAGGUGGAUUGUUAAGUCAGUUGUGAAAGUUUGCGGCUCAAACGUAAAAUUGCAGUUGAAACUGGCAGUCUUGAGUACAGUAGAGGUGGGCGGAAUUCGUGGUGUAGCGGUGAAAUGCUUAGAUAUCACGAAGAACUCCGAUUGCGAAGGCAGUUCACUGGACUGCAACUGACGCUGAGGCUCGAAAGUGUGGGUAUCAAACAGGAUUAGAUACCCUUGUAGUC
rnacentral:rRNA from 1 species